rnacentral:rRNA from 1 species
GGGCCCGCACAAGCGGUGGAGUAUGUGGUUUAAUUCGAUGCAACGCGAAGAACCUUACCAGGGUUUGACAUCCUGCGAAUUUCUGGGAAACCGGAAAGUGCCUUCGGGAGCGCAGUGACAGGUGGUGCAUGGCUGUCGUCAGCUCGUGUCGUGAGAUGUUGGGUUAAGUCCCGCAACGAGCGCAACCCACGUCUUUAGUUGCCAGCAUUUAGUUGGGCACUCUAGAGAGACCGCCGGUGAUAAACCGGAGGAAGGUGUGGAUGACGUCAAGUCAUCAUGCCCCUUACAUCCUGGGCUACACACGUACUACAAUGGUAGUGACAAUGGGUUAAUCCCAAAAAAGCUAU